CCAACAUGGUCAUCCAUUGAGGUUACUCAUGGCUCUCCGCAAGGGCGUAUGGAGGCGUAGCCCUAAGUGCAGUGAUGCACAAUACUCUUCCAUAGUUGGAAGAGCAAACCUAUCCCUAGCUCUACAACUGAUGAAGUCAGAAUCCUGUAUAUUCCUAAAACUUCUCAUAGUCUUUACGUGAUUACUGAGGCGAAAAACCAUGCGGGAUGUAAUU
rnacentral:snoRNA from 1 species